CAGCCCUCAAGCACUCUGCUUGGAGUUGAGCGCCGCCGGCUCACGGCGGGCUCUAAAAUCAGUGGCGGUGUCGGACGGCCCCGAGCGCAGUAGAUCUCUCUCGCUUUAGGGGUACGGACGGAGCCUGCCAGAAGCGAUUAUGCCACA
rnacentral:misc_RNA from 1 species